rnacentral:rRNA from 1 species
AUUGAACGCUGGCGGCAGGCCUAACACAUGCAAGUCGAGCGAGCGGCGGACGGGUGAGUAAUGUAUGGGGACUGCCCGAUAGAGGGCGAUAACUACUGGAAACGGUAGCUAAUACCGCAUACUAUCGGAUAACCCAUAUGGGAUUAGCUAGGAGGUGGAGUAAUGGCUCACCUAGGCGACGAUCCCUAGCUGGUCUGAGCGGAUGAUCAGCCACACUGGGACUGAGCAAAGGCCAAGACUCCCACGGAGGCAGCAGUGGGGAAUAUUGCACAAUGGGCGCAAGCCUGAUGCAGCCAUGCCGCGUGUAUGAAGAAGGCCCUAGGGUUGUAAAGUACUUUCAGUCGGGAGGCGUUACCGACAGAAGAAGCACCGGCUAACUCCGUGCCAGCCGCCGCGGUAAUAC